UCUCUCUCUCUGUGUGACUAUCAUAAAUAAAUAAAAAUUAAAGAAAAAAAAAAAAAGGAAGGAAGGAUGCAGAAAAAGGAUUCAAACCUAAGCAUUCUGGCUCUUAAACAUUCAGUUCUACAGAAAAGUCCAGGACAGAAGUCCAAGCUUGUUUGUGUCUACAUACUUGUUUCAUCUUGUGAUCACAGGCAAUGGAGAAAGAGACAACAGAAAAUCAAGCCCAGAGCCUUAAAAGUUUUGCUAUCUAAAUAGAUGAGCAGUCUUUGUGCUUCCUUAUAUCACAAGGUUGGAAAAGCCGUCUCCAUUCUUAGCCAUCCUGUGUGGGCAGGUUCCCAGUCCGGCGUUUGCUGUAAUUAUGAUUACAAAGCAAUUUCUAUUUGUAUAGACCUUUUUUCCUCUUUCAAAGCACUUUCACACGUUAAAUUUUACUUGAUCUUCAUAACCCUAUGAAAUAUUUAGAGCUAAAGUGGCAUUAGCCACAUUGGGGCAGGUGGGGCUGGGGGCAUUUUUAAAUUCACUUUUUAAAUUUCUAUGGGUUUAAGGUACUGUGGGAAAGAGACAAUGCUAAUGACAGUCUUCUCCCUCUAGGAGCUCGGAGUCUUCUUAGAAGUAAUAAUACAUAUAUGAAGGUAACUACAAUGUAAGGUGAAGUCUAGCUAAGAAAAGAACUGGGGAGGCAGCCCCGGUGGCUGGUGGCUCAGUGGUUUAGCGCCGCCUUCAGCCUAAGGUGUGAUCCUGGAGCCCCGGGAUCAAGUCGGCUUCUCCCUCUGCCUGUGUCUCUGCCUCUCUCUCUCUCUCUGUCUCUCAUGAAUAAAUAAAACUUAAAAAAAAAAAAAAAAGACUGAGGAGAGGAUGAAAAUGGCUGACUAGGAAGGAUCAGGAAAGGUUUCAUGAGGAUGUGGUAUUUGAAUUGCCAGCUAGAGUAGGGAAAGGGAAGGUAGUUCAACCAGAGAAAGCCUUCUGAGACAGCAGGAAAGCACAAGUGGGAGAGCUCUGUGUUUGGUGGGGAGAAGAGAGCCACCUAAAGUCAGUCCACCCACCCGUUAUUCUUAGCCCCAUUUUGUAUCCUUUAAAGCACCUGCAUAACUCACAAGUAGUUUAUCUGUUUUCUAGUUUUUGCUCUUCCUCCACUAGAACAUAAGCCCUGUAAGGGCAGGCACCGUCGUGCUCUCCAUUGUUCACCGUUGGCCUGGCACUUGGUAAGCUCACAGUGUUUGCUGCGUGAAUGUUGCAGUGGUCUAGGUGAAAUCGCAGUGGAGAAGCAGACAGGGGAGGCUACCUGAGUCGACAUACCAGGUUACUAGGCGAGGCCAGAGUAAAGGAGGUGGAGAAGUCAAGAAGGAACCCGAGAAGACAACAGUGCUGAUCCAUCACCAAGCCAGGAAUACAGGAGGAGGUGCAAGUUUGAGAGAGAGAAAUGAUGGUCUGUUCCAAACAUGCAGAGGGAAGGUACUGCCCAGCAUGGGUCUGUAUCUCAAGGUUUCUUUUUUAUUUUUUUAAGAUUUUAUUUAUUUAUUCAUGAGAGACACAGAGAGCGAGGCAGAGACACAGGCAGAAGAAGCAGGCUUCCUGUGAGGAGCUUGAUGUGGAACUUGAUCCCAAGAGUCCAGGAUCAUGACCUGAGCCAAAGGCAGACGUUCAACCACUGGGCCACCCAGGUGCCCCUAUCUCAGGAUUUCUAACUCCUAAACAGAUUUUAUUUAUUUAUUCAUGAUAGACAUAGAGAGAGAGGGGCAGACACACAGGCAGAGGGAGAAGCAGGCUCCAUGCCAGGAGCCCAACGUGGGACUCGAUCCGGUGACUCCAGGAUUGUGCCCCAGGCCAAAGGCAGGCACUAAAUCACUGAGCCACCCAGGGAUCCCACUAACCAGAAUUUAAAAUAAAAACUUAAACAAACAAAGAAGAAAAUUUAAAAGUCAACUGAACAUCUGAAAUGUCACCACCCAUAGAAGACCAUGAACAUUUUGCUGACCCUCUUGUGUAUGUAAUUUUAUACAAACACUGUUCUGUAAUUUGCAUUUUCAUUCACCAAUAUGUUGUGAAUCUAUUUUCCAUGUCAAUAAGUAUCACUCAUAUUUAAAGUUUUAUUACAUGAAUAUACUAUAAUUUAUCACAUUUCCUACUAUUGAGCAUUUAGGUUGUUUCUGCAUUUUUGUGUGUAAGACAUUGCAGUGAAUAUCUUUGUAAGAAUACCUCUCUGUACCUAUGUCAUUUUCUGUGAGUAAAUUUUUGGAAGUUUGAUUACUUUA